AAUGAACGUUGGCGGCGUGCCUAAUACAUGCAAGUCGAACGAAGACUGUAGUAAUACUGUCUUAGUGGCGAACGGGUGAGUAACGCGUGGGUGACCUGCCCCGAAGUGUGGGAUAACAGUUCGAAAGGAUUGCUAAUACUGCAUAAUAUCCAAGAGAUUAGACGCUUUUGGAUUAAAGGAGUAAUUCGCUUCGGGAGGGGCCCGCGUCCCAUCAGCUAGUUGGUAAGGUAAUGGCUUACCAAGGCGAUGACGGGUAGGGGACCUGAGAGAGUGGCCCCCCACAAUGGAACUGAAACACGGUCCAUACACCUACGGGUGGCAGCAGUAGGGAAUAUUAGUAAUGGGCGAAAGCCUGAACUAGCAACGCCGCGUGUGCGAAGAAGGCCUUCGGGUCGUAAAGCACUUUUUGAAAGGAUGAGAAAGGACGGUACUCUCAGAAUAAGUCUCGGCUAACUACGUGCCAGCAGCCGGGUAAAAGUGUGUGUA
rnacentral:rRNA from 1 species